UCGAAACCUGCCCAGCAGAGCGACCCGUGAACAUGUUCAACCUCGUGGGGGCUGGGGCGUUGCUCGGUGCCCCGUGCGCCAGCUCGCCCCUCCCCCAGGCCGGGGGAGCGCUCACUUGUGGGCUCUCUCCCCGGCUAACCAACGAAACCCCGGCGCUUAAACGCGUCAAGGAAUAUUAACUUUAUGUGUGUGCUCUCCUGUCGCCCGGUUAGCCGGGCGUUGGAGCGGUGCCAUGUCUUAACAAUAAACGACUCUCGGCAACGGAUAUCUCGGCUCUCGCAUCGAUGAAGAACGUAGCGAAAUGCGAUACUUGGUGUGAAUUGCAGAAUCCCGUGAACCAUCGAGUUUUUGAACGCAAGUUGCGCCCGAAGCUUCUGCUGAGGGCACGUCUGCCUGGGCGUCACGCAUCGCGUCUCCCCCAAAAUCCACCCUCGGUGGAGGGGAAGGAGGAUGGUUUCCCGCGACUCACCGGUCGCGGCUGGCCUUAAAAUCGGAGCCCUCGGCAUCGGCAUGCCGCGGCGAUAGGUGGUGAACAAGGCCUCGGCCGAGCAAGCAACCCGUCGCGUAUACCGUGCAAGUGUGGGCUCGUCGGACCCUUUGCUGUUGCCUCUUAUGGCGACCAAACCGUU
rnacentral:rRNA from 1 species